GCCCCUGUGGCGGAAUUGGUAGACGCGCUCGAUUCAAAAUCGAGUUCCCAAAAGGAGUGCCAGUUCGAGUCUGGCCAGGGGCACCA
rnacentral:tRNA from 1 species